GCGGGUGUGGUGAAAUUGGUAGACACGCCAUCUUGAGGGGGUGGUGAGCUUGCUCGUGGAGGUUCAAAUCCUCUCACCCGCACCA
rnacentral:tRNA from 1 species